rnacentral:misc_RNA from 1 species
UCAACCAUCAAGCUCCGCUUGGCAUUGAUUGUCGCCCCCUCCACCGGGGGGGGGGCGCGAUCUAAACUGGUCGGCUGUGGUCUGUGAACCGUUGGCGUUAGUAAAAACUUCCCGCUACUCGGCAACAGGACGCAAGCCUCCAAAAUCCAACACCUCAA